rnacentral:rRNA from 1 species
UACAGAGGGUGCGAGCGUUGUUCGGAAUUAUUGGGCGUAAAGGGCGCGUAGGCGGCGCCACAAGUCACUUGUGAAAACUCUGGGCUCAACUCAGAGCCUGCAAGCGAAACUGUGGUGCUGGAGUAUGGGAGAGGUGCGUGGAAUUCCCAGUGUAGCGGUGAAAUGCGUAGAUAUCUGGAGGAACACCGGUGGCGAAGGCGGCAUCCUGGACCAUGACUGACGCUGAGGAGCGAAAGCCAGGGGAGCAAACGGG